rnacentral:rRNA from 1 species
GCAAUGCCGCGUGCAGGAUGAAGGCCUUCGGGUUGUAAACUGCUUUUGUACGGAGCGAAACGGCUCUUCCUAAUACGGAGGGCUAAUGACGGUACCGUAAGAAUAAGCACCGGCUAACUACGUGCCAGCAGCCGCGGUAAUACGUAGGGUGCAAGCGUUAAUCGGAAUUACUGGGCGUAAAGCGUGCGCAGGCGGUGAUGUAAGACAGAUGUGAAAUCCCCGGGCUCAACCUGGGACCUGCAUUUGUGACUGCAUCGCUAGAGUACGGCAGAGGGGGAUGGAAUUCCGCGUGUAGCAGUGAAAUGCGUAGAUAUGCGGAGGAACACCGAUGGCGAAGGCAAUCCCCUGGGCCUGUACUGACGCUCAUGCACGAAAGCGUGGGGAGCAAACAGGAUUAGAUACCCUGGUAGUCCACGCCCUAAACGAUGUCAACUGGUUGUUGGGUCUUCACUGACUCAGUAACGAAGCUAACGC